GGGACUCUGAAAUUUUUUUAAUUAAAAAAAUCAAAUGCUGAGCAUUUUUUUCUGGCUUUUAUCAAUUAAUCCUCCUAACAAUAACAAUAGCUAACUAAUAAAUAGCCAGGAACUGUUUUAUGUAUUUCACAUAUAUUAACUUGUUUUAAGCUGCACUGUAACGUGCUAGGUAGAUGUGCUACUUUUAUACCCACUCUACAGAUGAGGAAACUGUGGUACAGAGAGGCAGAGAGAGAUACACUGGGGGCAGUGGUGGAAGUGGCUGAGUUUGAAUUCAGAUUAAGGGAGUCUGGCUCUAGGGUCCAUGUCCUUCAUUACUACACUUUAUUGUCUUUGGAGUAGUGCUAAUAGUAUUCUCAUUUUAUAGGUUUAUGUAUUUAUUCAGCAAAUGUGUAUCACCAGGUGUUCUAGGAGGGCUAGAGAUAUUGCAGGGAAUAAGGCAAAGUCCCUGUCCUCACGGGGCUUCCAUUUUAGAUGAGGAAACUGAGGACAAGCAAGUCCUGCUGUUCAGGCUGAAUCUAACAGCGCUGGGACCUUUGGAGUCUGACUCCAAGGGCCAGUGACUUUACCUUAGGCCAUACUGCUGUUCUGAACAGAUUUCAUAUCGAAGGCCCUGGCGGGCUUUAUCAGGAUUCCUGGAGGUGGGCGUUCCUGUCGUGGCUCAGCGGCAACAAACCCGACUAGUGUUCAUGAGAAUGCAAGUUCCAUCUCUGGCCUCGCUCAAUGGGUUAAGGAUCCAGCAUUGCUGUGAGCUGUGGUGUAGGUUGCAGAUGUGGCUCAGAUCCCUUUGCUGUGGCUGUGGUGUGGGUCAAUAGCUGCAGCUCCAAUUUGAUCCCUAGCUGGAAACUUGCAUAUGCUGAGGGUGUGUCCCUAAAAAGACACACACACACACACACACACACACACACACACACGAUUGCUGGAGGUGGCAAUGGGUGGUGACACAGAACUGUCCCCACAGCGAUCCCUUUCACCUUUCCCUUCCCAUCGCCUUCUCUUCUUCCUUUUCCUUCUUACUUUUCUGCACCUUCAAGUGCACAGAGGUAGAAUUUAGCCCUGAAGGGGGCACUUGGGGCCAAAGACAUUUCCGAGGAGAAGAAGGCCACCAUCACUGCUGAUUCCGGACAUUGCUUUACUCAUCCUUAAGUUAUUUUUACUCUUUUUAACAUGACCUGGAACACUAUUUAGUAUUCAAGUCUCCAGUCUCCCCUGACAAUCUUCCUAUCCCACCUCCUCACCAAAUUCAAGAUGCUCAUGGUCUUUACAAGGGAGAAGUUCUGUCCAAUCUCAGUGUCUCAUACGAUGUCCCACCCUUCUGGUCGGAGUCACUCUGCCUGAGUCAGUGGGCAGUUGGCAUCCCUGUGUGUCUUUCCUUUCACUAGCUUGGGUCACCCCUGCUCCUCUAGGCAUUCAGCCUUGAUCUGUUUCUCAAACUUGUAUGCCUGUGAGGUCCUCUCCAAGUUCUUAUUAUCACGUUUCAACUGUGAGGCACAAAACUCAACAUAGUCUAUAUUCAAGAUAUAGACUUUUCAGAUUUAUUGCCAAGAUUGCAGUAAGCUGGUCCGAUGGCCCUACUGAGCACACUUUCUGGUGAGGAUGCUAUAGGGCUGAGUAGUCUGGGGAGCCUGGCUGUCCAUAACCUGAGCAAGUGCUGAUCUGAAGACAGGCUGGGGGUCCUGGGAAGAUCCCAGCCUUUCUUCCAAGGGCUGAGAUCUGGGGACUUGGAGAGGGUGGGAGGUGUGUACAGGAGUCUCACAAAGGGUGUCACAGGCAGGCUGAAAUUUGGCUUUAUCCUCCCUGGGAAUACAAGAACCUCUUUCAGCUUUUGCAGAUGUCUGGGGAAACGGGAGGGCACAAGGCUUGGCUGCUUUGUGCUCAGGGAAGAGUCCUGUGCCACCAGAUGUGAGAUAACUCAUCACUCAGGUUUCUGAAGACCCCUGGUGAUUCAAGUCAAGCCCCCGUGGGACUAACCCAAAAGAGGGAUUUGGUCAGAGGCCUGAGAGGUGUGGUAGAGCAAAUCCAUAUCCCCUCCCUGUGCCAUAUUGUGUGACUUACUCCUAUCUCUGGAACAGCUACUUUUCAGGGGUGUACAGAAAAAGCAGCAGGGUCAUUCUUAAUCUGGACUAAGGGUCCAGAUUCCCUCCAAGGCAAGGGCUUGUGUACAGGUGGUUAAUUGGGGGAAGUGAUGCUAAGGAAUAGGAUUGGGGGGCUUGGGAGGGGUCUGUGAAGACUGAAACAGGGAAGAAAUAGAAGCCAACCCAUGAUGACUUUCAUUAUCUGUUGAUGACUAUGGGCAACCAGAUCUCAGUCCCACCAUGGACACUGUGAAGAGCCCUUGUUUCGUGCCUCUCUGACUCGGCAGUCUGCAGGGUGGGAGAGGGAAGUCUUAGACUGCCAGCUUCUGCACCCUGUUGAUCAAGUGUGGUUCCUUGGGUGUUAAAUUCCACACACUUUCAGGUUUGCAUGUGUAUCAGAAAGGCUGAGCACAAGUUCCCCUCGAGGCUCAGUGGUAAUGAAGCCGGCUAGUAUCCAUGAGGACUUGGGUUCUAUCCCUAGCCUCGCUCACUGGGUUAAGGAUCUGUCAUUGCCAUGAGCUGUGCUGUAGGUCACAGAUGCAGCUCGGAUCCCGCAUUGCUAUGGCUAUGGCAUAGGCCAGGAGCUACAGCUCUGAUUCAACCCCUAGCCUGGGAACGUCCAUAUGCCCUGGGUGUGGCCCUACAAAGACAAAAAAAAAAAAAAAAAAAAAAAAGAAGAAGAGGAAAAGGAAAGAAGGGCUGAGCAGCUUUCUGAGCCUUGAGGGCAGAGAAGCCAGGAAGAGAAAGCCAGUGCUACUCAGGAUGCAAGAUGCCACAAUGCUGCCAGAGGUCACUGCCUUGCAGCUGGUUACUGCAGCGAUGGCUGAAAUGGUGAGGUGAGCCCGGAAAUGCAGGUGGCGCACUGAAUUCAGAAGACAAAUUCUCUUUCCACUCCCUCUGCUUUCAGAUUCAGAGCCCCCAAAUCCUUCAAAAUUCAGUUUGGUCCUCUCCUGUGAAGAUUUUCCAAAGGAAUCUGGUUGUAGCCAACUUUUUAAUCUCCUAGAGCACAGUCACUUAAUUGGCACUCUUUUUUUUUUUUUUUUUUUUUUUGCUUGAUUUAUGUUAUAUACUAUAAUGGUUUCAAAACUCCUUGGAUGAUGACUUAAAGGCAGAGACUCAAUGCACCCCACUCCUAGGGCCUUAGAGUAGUAGAUGUAAAACAGACCUGUCAAUCAGUGUUCACUGAAUUGAAUGGUAUAAACACUAUUAGCAAUAAGAGCUCUGCAGUUUUCAAGCAUUUGUUUGAAAGCGUUUGCUUUUUGUUGGUGUCAUAGACUAAGCUGCAGUGAUGGAAAAGGUGAAUGUGGGUGAAGGUUUUGUUUAGGGCUCUAGAUUAUAAAUUUAGCCAUUGGAACCAUGACACUUUCCUACUCCUCCAAGUCUUUAAGUUAUCUCUAGCAGAAAAUGUACUCUGUGACCUUCUCUUUGAAGACAUGACGUGUGCUGGACUGAAUGUCCCAGCUGGUCACUUCUCCCAGUGCCCUUGCUCUCGCUUCAGCCUGGCUCACUCCCUCCUUGAUAAAGCCUUUUGGAGCUCGAUCCACUCAAGUCACAGAGUAUUGACCAAAUCAUACUUCAAGGUCACAGAAGUAGCCUUCCAUGGGUAACUCCAGGGAUUCUCUAUGCCCUCUCCUGGGGAAAGAAAAAAUAAUAAGAGUUUCUUUCUCAUGCUCUCUAGGACUAGAAUUAGUGAAGAAUUUGCUCUGUUCUAUUUACAUCCUUUGGCCCCUUCCUUGCUGUUGACCAUGGUACUUGUAGGCCAAAUGGGUAAUUAGGGGAGUGGCCUCUAUCACUGGAACUAAUAUUGCUACUGUCCAGAGUAAACUGGUCUUUUUAGAUUGAACCAGUGACCUUGACCUCGUUGGCACAAGGCUUUAGCUGACAGAGAUUAGCCCAUCAGGCACUUCUUGUUACCUAUACUAAAGAAGGGGAGCCCUAGACAUGAAUAAUAGAAGCCAUAGGUAAUUCAACUCAACAACAGCCAAUGAGGGUGUAUGGCAUGCCAGGCCUUGUGUUAUGCAGGAGGAUGCUCUGAAAAGACCAUCAUAUUUGUGUCAGAAAUCCUGGGUUUGAAUGUGGCUCUGCCGCUUAAUAUCUAUAUGACCUUAGGUGAGUCAUUUGACCUCCAAAUGCUUUAGUUUCCUUGUGGGUAAAAUGGGAACAAUAAUUUUUUCUCACUGGGAUUUUUGUGAGGAUCAAAUGCGAUACUAUGUGUGAAAGUAACUUUAAAUAAUUGAGUGGGAAGUAUUAUUGGUUUUUAUAUAAAGAUGAAUAAGACCCAGUCUCUACCUUUAAGGCUCUUAAAUUUUGGCUGAGUCUGAUUGGGCUGAAUUUCUCCCAGAAAGAAAAAUGUCCUUGAGGCACAAAGUCAGGGCACCAGCCCAUCUGAGCAGAAGGAAACCCUCUGUGGGAGUAAUUCUCUUUUCCUCCAUAAGGGUCUCUCCAGCUCCCCAGCCAGGGAAGGAGAUGCCCACAUUAGGCCAGCUGAAUGGGCAGCAGAUAACCACCAGGUGGGGACCCCCAAGCCUGGAUAAGGCAUAAACAGCUUAUGCAGAAUUGACAGAUAUAUUCGGGUAGACCCCAAAUAGGAUAUAUGUAGGUAUUCUAGAGCAAAUUGUUCUAGACCAAUGGUUUAAAAAUCAAAUUUGCCCAUAAUUGCUGGUAUGACAGAAACCUCUCCACAAAUCCUACUUGACUUGAGAAGAUGUGUACAUUCUGACUGGAGACCGGUCAGACCCAUUACAACUAAUUAAGCUGUAGAAACAUGCAAUCAUGAAUGAGCUUGGCUAAUACUUAACAAAACACAUGAAGUGGGAAACUAGAGUUACCCAAGUUUGAGAAUGCUGUAAAGUAAUUCAUGUUCAGAGAAAGUUGGAAUAAAAUAAAGACCUUUAAAAAAAAUUGAGAUUGGGAAGAUUAGGGGAUUUAGCUCAUCAGAAAAAUCACUAAGCCAGGAAUAAAUGCAAAAAACUGAGAGAUGGAAUGAAAAAGUCAUGUCAUUUAUUCCUUUGACAGUUAUAGAGUGGGAUGGGGCAGGACAUGUUCUAGCUGCUGGGGUGGGUGGUAGGUGGUAAGUCCUCAUUCCCCGGAGGGUGGACACAUCUGCCGGCCACUGAGGACUCACAGCUGCACCCUUUUCCAGAGGCUGCAGGUGGGAAGCACUGCCUCAGUGAUACCUGAAAGGUCCUGCCCCACCCCCCACCCAUCCUACAUACACAUACUCGGGGGUAGCCUGCUGAUGAUGAGGUGCCCGAUGUUUGGGGGAGUGGUAAAACUCACCCCAUGGCCUCAAGGUGGGACAAUGGCUGGGGUGUCAUUCAAGCCCCAGAGCUCUCCCUGGAUCAGAUUAAGGCAAGACUUCAGCUGAACCCAGGGUCAUCUCACCUGGCCCUAUUCUGUAGCCCUCAUGCCACAGUUUUCACCUGAAAGUCCUCCCUCAAAAAAUCACUUGCAUAAGAAUCUUCAUCUGAGGCUCUGCUUUUCAGGCACCCAACUUCCGGCAAAGAGAAGCCCUGAAUAAAUCAGCAGCAGUCUCCACCCUCUGGGAGCUUCUUUUGGUAGAGGAUGCUGACCAAUGAACAGGUACUUCCAUUGGGGAGGAAGGGUGAUAUCGUCAGAAAAUACACAGAGUUCUGGGAACAGGGGUGCUUCACAGAGAGCUUCUUAGAGUUGAAAAUUUCUGAGCUGAGAAUUGGGUUAUGACUCGGAACUGGCUGGGGAAAGAAGUAGGGGAAAGAAUUUGCCAGGCAGAAGGAAAAGGAGGCACAGAGGUACAAAUCGGUGCAUCCUUAAGACUGCAAAGGAUUCAGUAUGACUGGGGAAGAAGGUGACAGUGGCAAGAAAAGAGACCAGAGAGGUUAAUGUGGUCCAGAUUUUGAAGGGCUUAGUGAGCUACGAACAAGGUUGUACUGUGUACCAGCAAAGGAAAAGCAAUGAGGGGUUUUAACCAGAGGAUAUAUGAUAAUACUUCUAUUUUUUAAAAAAAUUCCUGGCCUGUAGAAUAGAGAAAGGACUUGAAAGGGUGAGGCUAAUGGUAGGGACAAAACACUAGUCAAUAUUUCAGUUUUAAGGUAAUGGUUAAGGGCUAGAGCCCUAGCAUUAGAGAGAGAGAGUUUUAAUCCCAGCUCGGGCAAGUUAUUUAUUCUCUCUAAGCUUUGAUUUCCUUGACUGUAAAAUUCUCUAAACUCUAAACUGAGUGGGCUUGAACACUGAAGGAGCUAAUGCAUGAAGAGAAUUUUAUGGUUAUUUUUAAUGACACUUGGUGCCCUGAAAACACCAUCAAAACCAUCUGUUAUUAUCCACAUGGUCUGAACUAGGGCAAUAGCAGUGGGAACAGAGAGAAGUAGAUGGAGUUGAGAAUGGUGGGAGGUGGAAUUGGAGGGCCAUGUAACUGGCUGGAUGUGGAAAUGGAAUGAAGAUGGUGCUGAGGAUUUCUGGUUUGGGCAGCAGGGAGAUGGCAUCACCCCUCAUGUGGCGGGACUUAAUGGAGGAGCGGAGGAUUCUGAAUGGAGGCUAUAGCCAGUUCUGGGCGUGUUGCUUUUGAAGUGCCUGUGAGAUCCCCAAAGUGGAAAUGUCUGACAGGUAGAUAGACAUUUCCACUUUGUCCAUUUCCACUCUCUGUGACCUGACGUCCAGGAGAGAGAUCUGAGCAGGAGAUGCACUGCUGCGUGGAGCAUGUGCCCAGGACAGAGGAGAGAGUCAGGCACUGUGUUAGACCCAAGGACAAAGGUGAGGACAUGACUGGUAGCCCAGGGAACUCAUAGUCUGGUGGGGGAAGCAGAUAAUUCAACAGUAUUACAAUACAGUGGGUAUGUUUUUGAACUGAAGCUAUGGGGUGGAUCCCAGGGGUUGAAGGCAACUGAGGAUGGGAGGACAACUCCAAAGGUCAGAACUAAAAUUGGAGACAGUCAUGGGGGUGGGGGUGGAGCAAGGAAGGAAAGGGUGGAACUGCUUGGGAAGUAGUUUUUAAUAUGUUUAACUCAGAGACAAAAUAAUUGACUGUAACUUCAUCACAGAGUCAGGAAGUAUUUUAGUGCUCUUGAGUUCUAUGUCUCUGAGACGGUGCUGUUGUGGAAUCCUCAGCGUUCUGAGGGGCCCCUGUAAGUGGAGGCUGCCACAGUGUGGGGAACUAAAACCAAGCAGACACCCCCUAUUGAACCAAGUGUCAUUGUUUUGGAAAUUGGGACUUUGGGUCAGCUUUCCUUGGAAAAAACUGUUGUACC
rnacentral:lncRNA from 1 species